GGAUCAUGGGAACAGAGUUGGUGAACAACAAUAUAGUUUAUCAACAAGGGAUCACGUAUCCUUUAGCUUGCCAUAGCAUUUUCACUAAUUUCCUUUGCUUUAGUGAAUCAUUGUAAUUGAUUGUAGGCUAUUUAGUCAACUUUGAUUGAAUGAAAAAGGCGAGCAAGAAUUAAGUCACAUUUUCCCUCUGUCAAAUUCUCCUUCUUUCUUGAGUUCUGCUAUACUCUAAAUAGCAACUUUCUGAGUCUUGUCACCUUCCCAUUGUUUGAUGAGUUUAUUGCAUUUUAUAGACUACAGCUUUACAUGUUUGAUCAAACUAUCUAAGGCAUAAAAAAACAAUAAUUUAGGAAGAAUCCUUGAUUCAUACAUUGUGUCACAUAUAUACCAAGCAAAGAGCAAAAAAAUUCCAGGUUCCUUCUCUUUUGAAAUCACAAACAGGUAUUAUGAAGUAAUGACAAUUCAUUGUAAUAUAAUAGACAGUGUCCAAACAGUGCGUACAAAACAAUGCAUACAAAACAUUAAGAAAGAAUGAAUGAUAAGAACACAAACUCUCAAGGAUCAACCAAUCCCCUUUGUCUAUUUCACAAAAACAACAUAAGUCAAGGCCAUUAAAAAAAAGAGCUUAUGUAACAUUGCAAGGGGUUCUAUAUCAUCCUUAAAAAAAACUCUAAAUUUUCUAAAAUCAAAUCCUAAUGAAUUGAAGAUAGUUCAAAAAGGUUUGUUAUGAUUUGUUCACUAUUUUCAUUGAAAUUUUGAUUUUUAAUUUUUUAUUAUGAUUUGUUCUCUUUCCUAUAAGCAUUUCAAUCAUUCCAACAAAAAAAAAAGAUAAAGUAAAACAAAAACCUUAUGAUGACACGUUCAUGGCAGGUUGACAACGGCGACGACCAG
rnacentral:lncRNA from 1 species